rnacentral:rRNA from 1 species
GUGUAGGAUAGGUGGGAGGCUUUGAAGCACGUACGCCAGUAUGUGUGGAGCCGUCCUUGAAAUACCACCCUUGUAGUGUUGAUGUUCUAACGUCGACCCCUUAUCGGGGUUACGGACAGUGCCUGGUGGGUAGUUUGACUGGGGCGGUCUCCUCCCAAAGAGUAACGGAGGAGCACGAAGGUGGGCUAAUCACGGUUGGACAUCGUGAGGUUAGUGCAAUGGC